AUCCCAACAUGCCUGCCUGUGCUUUCUGGCCUCUGGCUGGCCAGAGCUGCAGCCUCUAUCUUGGAUGGUGGUUGCUGGAAGUGGCAGCCAUCAAAUGAAACCAGCUGCCCUUGUGUUACUUGAUUGGAGACACCAUGGCUUUACUGACCCUGGUGGGAAGGCUGACCCAGGGUUGGCACGGAUCGAGCCUUCAGUACCUUGUCUGGAUCUGCCAGGCUUCAGGGAGCUGGAAAAUGUUUUGACUCUGCCUGUGCCUGGGGCCAGCAGCUGGCCAGGCAGGUAGUGAGGGCAGAACCAUCUCCAUUUCCUUCUGUGGAUCUGGGCUGGAGUCAUGGUAUAUCCCAGGGCAUUACCAACCACCUGUUUGCUGAGACGUGCAUGGCCUUUGAGUCCCAGAGUGUUGGUGGAGGGCUCAGUGGGUAGAUCAGAGUCACCUAGUCCCUGUUGUCCCAGGCCCUGCCCUGCCUUCCACCUCAGGCUGUAUCAGUACACAGGUUAUCCUUGGCAGUUUGUUUGAAGUUUGACUCUCAGAUUCUCGAAGAACCACAGCUAACAGGUGUCUGUAGAGGAAUUGGUUCUGUGAGGACUUAAGCCUUUUAAAGGAAGUAGCUCCUGCCAGGUAGCUUCUCAGAACCCCUCAGCCUCCUCUGGCCAUUGUGGCCUGUGCUAGUAUUGCUGACACUCAGUCUGGACUGUCUGCAUUGUCUGAUUAGCCCAGUAUAAACUUCACUACCAUCUGCUUGCCCAAACCCUGACCAGAGGCUGCUUAGAGCGCUAGGAGGAUGGGUGGCCUUCCUGGCACAGGUGCAGACUCUGCCUGCACCCCAGCCUGGGAGUCAAGUGUCACUCCACUUGUCACCACAAUCUGCCAGGAGAGACCUGCCUCUGUUCCAUUCUUGAAUAGCACAGAUUUCUGGAGCUGCCAGCUAGAGGCAGGCACCAAUUCAGUAACUCCUCUCCCUCAGCUGGCAUCUUGGGAUACGCACCAGGUGAGUUAGCAGUGCCAGUCCUGCCUGGCCACUCUAUGGAAGCCCACAGUGCUUCUGACUGUGUUCUAGUGAGAGCUUUUCUCCUGUCAGCAUCCACAGUGUCCCCUAGAGAGCAGUGUCCCGGAGUCCCAUCCUCUAGGAUGGCCAUGCAAUGGCUGCUAGGGAGAGAAGUCCCUGAGGAUGUAAUGCCAGUCGUGUUAAUGCUGUGGGAAGGGACAUUGUGCCACCUGUCACUCGGAUGGUGUAAAACGGGAGAAAGUUACUAUUGACUUCAUCUCGCUAUCCGGAGUUCUCAGGAAGUCCUGAGGAUCUCACUUGGCCAGCUGUCAUCCCGUGGUUCUGGGACCACUGUCUCUCUCCCAGCACCCCCUUCCCUUCCCUCCCUGCUCAUUGGAUCUGAGGUUCCCUAGCCUUUCUAUUUCCAGGCUGCCUAAGAAAUCCCCCUGCCUCUGAAAGUAAUACCAUUUCCACAGAGCCUUGCAGGAUACUCUUCAUGUGAAGCGCUCCAGCUUCACAGGCAACUGGCCAAAGCACAUGGGUCCUCCAGUGGCUGGAGGGUGUUUUGUGAGGGCAGUCUGUCUGUCUGCACAGAAGGCUCUGCUCUCAUGCACUUGGUGCUCAAUGUGGAUGGGAUCUUUUGGGAUCUCAUGGCACACAUAGCAAGUGUGCUAGAAGUUUAUCCUCAUGGGUGUUCCUUAUGAGUUGUUCCUGUGGCCGAGAGGACCCUGUGUUCCUGUCUGCUUUGAGGGCAGGGAGGUGACCUUGGGAAAGCUGGCACUUUCGGGUGGGUCCGAAGAGAUGGGGCUCAGGUGCUUGCUGGUCUUCUGGGUUUGCUGAGCACAUAUUGCACUCUGACCUUCAUGUUGCCUGUGGGCCGGAUGAAGACAGUGAGCUGUGUUCUUCCUGGGCUCUCAUGCCAGAAGAGGCUAGACAGGCCAGCUGUAGCUUCAGCUCUCCACUGACUGCCUUUUGGAGCAGACUAACACUAACUUGCAGCUGGAAACGUGAUGUAUAGGGGCUGUGGUUGUUAAAAUGUCAGGUAGUGGAGGGUAGGUGGUGGGUGUGGGGUUAGGUGCCCAUGUAUAAGGGCAGAGGGCCAGUGUUUCUGGGCUGUGUUUAGUGGCAUGUCCCCUGAGGAGUUGCACAUGGUGUUUCCAUGUUUUCAGUUUUCUCAACCACUUAUCAUGCCUUAGGGGUUCUGUGUGGGAAGCAGGUGAGUGACCCAUGUAGCAUUUACCUGUCUGUCCAAGCUGCCUUUGCUACGUGUUGCCCAUGGAUGGUGACUUGAAGCUUCUAGUGCCUCAAGGCCCAGGCCACCUCAGGUCAGAGACCAUAGGGCCAUCUCUAGUGCCUUCCUUGGGACCAGUGUCUAGCCUGUGCUUCUAGUCCCAGACACUGCCCAAAACAUCUUAGUCUAUAUGCUGCCUUCCUUUUGUGCUGUGGACAAAAAUUGGGAAAAGCACGGCUGUGUGGAUUGUGUAAAUAUGAGCUCAUAUCUGUGAUGUUGAUUCCAGGAAUCCAGUGAUUUGGUACAUGUUAAAUGGGAAUUAAAAAUCCAAAGACCCUGUAAUGAAUAGUAAAGAUGAUGAUUUAUGUUGUAUGAGGAACCAAACUAUUGUAAUUUUGUACCAUACAUACCUUUCCAUCAAGUGACCAACAGCUUCUAAAUAAAUCCAGGUGAUUUCUUGC
rnacentral:lncRNA from 1 species